rnacentral:misc_RNA from 1 species
GAUGAAGAACGCAGCGAAAUGCGAUAAGUAAUGUGAAUUGCAGAAUUCCGUGAAUCAUCGAAUCUUUGAACGCACAUUGCGCCCCCUGGUAUUCCGGGGGGCAUGCCUGUCCGAGCGUCAUUACAACCCUCAAGCUCAGCUUGGUGUUGGGCCCCGCCGCCCCGGCGGGCCCUAAAGUCAGUGGCGGUGCCGUCCGGCUCCGAGCGUAGUAAUUCUUCUCGCUCUGGAGGUCCGGUCGUGUGCUCGCCAGCAACCCCCAAUUUUCUUCAGGUUGACCUCGGAUCAGGUAGGGAUACCCGCCGAACUUAAGCAUAUCAAUAAGCGGAGGA